UGGCAUUCCUAAUAUGCAACAGAAUGACGCUCUUCAAAGAGCCAGAGCACAGGCCAUUAUUUCCUAGAUUGUAUCAUGAACAAACUUCACCCUAGUUGAAGGGAUUAGCAGUAGCAAGUAGAGGAACUUCAGCCUAGGGGUUUAUUGUGAAGCUCAGACUCAAUAUUUUAGUUUGCAAGAUGGGCUCCUUGCCAUGUGACAUUAAGACUGGCAGGGAGAACAACAGAUACAGCAGAGGUAAAGAUGAGGCCUGAUCUGAUCUUUGUAUUGCCAAGAGCCCAGCACAGGCCCAUUUGAGGAAAAAUCAACAGAUACUGAUGGAACCACAUGAUUCUCUCAUGGAGAUGCUCACAGUAUGGACCUUUCCUAUGAAAGCAUCAACUGGAAGGUGUGGAUGGAAACCAUAUGACUCACAUUGCUACCACGGCAGCCUAAGUCCAUCUUUGUAACAGACAUGGCAACACAUCUACUAUCAGAGACUGGGCACAGAGUAAAGGACUCUUGGUUUCAAAUUUAUAGGAUACCACUGCCAGACUUAUGAUUCCUGCUAAAGUUGACCUGAGUGUCCUGCAGUAAGGGAGGCUUCAUUGCACAGUGACUUAUCCUUGCCUGCUUCUUUCUGGAAGAUUGACCUUUNUGAUUCCUGCUAAAGUUGACCUGAGUGUCCUGCAGUAAGGGAGGCUUCAUUGCAGUGACUUAUCCUUGUCUGCUUCUGGAAGAUUGACCUUCGAUCAUGUCUCAGAACUAUCAGUAUAGUGUGUCACUGCUGUUGACAGCUUUUCUGAUUAAUGUUGCUAUUCUAGUCUGAUUAGUCAACCUGAUAGAGAAUCCUUAUAAGAAUGAUUCUUUCUAGGUAUUAUUUUGGAUACAUUUUAUCAGUAAUAAAUUCCCUUCUGGUCCAGGUACACUAAGGGUAAAAGAAGUAAAAGAACUCCUUGAUAUUGAUCCAUGUUACCAGUUUGCUAUUUAUCAGACUACAAAAGAAAUAUAUGAACAAGGACUAUGUUAUAACCAAGAAACAUGUCAAAUAUUUUACUCUACUUACAUUAAAAAAAACUCCAUCAACUUUUCAUAUGUAAUUUUAUUUUUGCCUUUACUUCUAUUCCAUAUAAGCAGGAGGCCAUAUUUCAGAUGCCUUACCCUCCAUUUGAAGAAAAAAAAAAGCUCUGUUGGAUUGGAGUGCUCAUGUGUCUUCAUUUCAGUGUCAACUCAUGAAAGUUCUCCUUUAUACUCAGGAGGUGUCAUACAUGUGUCCUAGGAGCAGGUCCAGCUUCUAGAGCGUUAUUGGCUCACGACCUGGGAAAUUCUCCAAAGUUAAGUAUGAAAUUGGCCGCCAUACACAGAGGGCAAGAAGAGAAUGAAGAAAGAGGCAGACCAUUCUGGAUAAGAGAAAGAAGAGAAGGGAUGGGAAGGAAAGGGAAAGGAAAGGAAAAGAGAAAAGAAGAAAAAAGAAAAUAAAAGAAAAACGAGAAGAGAGAGAAGAGAAAGA
rnacentral:lncRNA from 1 species